UAUUAUUUAAUUAAAAAAUAAAAAUAAUGUUUGUUAAAUCUAAUUCAACUGGUAAAUCUAAAGAUAAACAAUUACAGUUAAUUAGAAUGACAGAAUAUUCAACAUGUUCAAAAUUAACAAAUAAAAAAGAUUGUAAAAGACCUCAACCAAUUAAAAUUGCACAAUUACUUGGACAAUCUGAAAAUUUAAAAACUAUUCAAAAAGACAGUGUACGUAAAAGAGCACAACCUGAAAGAUUGGGAACAUUAUCAAAUAAAAAAUAUUCAGGAAUAAAUAAAGAACAAAGUGAAACAAGUACUUAUAUUCAAUCUUCUAAGAAAAGUGCACGUAGAAUUCUUAAUUUUAGUGCAAUUUCUACAAAUACAAAAGACAACAAUGAAGAUAAAAAUCAAUUAAAUAAAAUUGUAAUUAAUGAACAGUUUCAUAAAAAAAUUUCUAAACCGAUAAGAAAAAGUUCAUUAAUUCCACCAAAUACUAUAAAAGAUAAAUUCAUACAAAACUAUUCUGAGAAAAUAAGUAAGAAUUCACAAAUAUUUAAAACAUUAAAAAAAACAAAUGAAGUAAAUGUUGAACCUGCAAAUAAAAUCAUAACUGAUUCCUCAAACAUCAAUAUUAAUUCUAUUAACAAUGGAGAAGUAAAUGAAGAGAAAAAUAUUCAAUUUUCUGAUUAUUCAAGAUCAAAAUUUAGUGAUAUAAAUGUUCAACAACAUGAAGCAUUACUUGUUACUCCAAAAUCUCCAAUUUUUUCUAACUAUGAAUCUUCUCAACAAGUAAUAACAAAUAAUAAUGAAUUUGAAAAAAAUUCUAUGAGUCCAAACAAAAAUGUUUCAAAAUAUAACAUAUCCAUAAAAUCUCCUUUAAAAAAAGAUGAUUGUAUUCAAAAUUUAUGUAAUUGUAUUCAGGAUAUAAAGCUAUUAGCUUCUGAAACUAAUGUGAAUAUGGAAUAUGAAUCAUCUGAGAUAAUCUGUAUAAAUAAAGACAAAAUUAUUCAUUUGGAAUGUGAAUUAAAAGAUUUAUUAAAAAAAACAGAAAAAAAUAUGAUUAAAUUAAAAUCAACAUUAGAAGAAACAGAAAAAAAUGUGAUUAAGUUAAAAUCAACAUUAGCAUUUGUCACAAGAUUAUUAUGUACAAAUGAUAAAGAAAUUACACUUUCCAAUAUUGAAUUAAAAGAAAAUACUAUGACAAAUAAAGAAAUUGAAUUAAAAACUUGUUGUAAAUCAAUUCAAUAUGCAGAAGAACAAUUAAAAACACCUAUUUUACAUAUUUCACAAGUUACAGAGUUUUCAAAUAAAAAUAAUUCAAUUCAAAAUGAUGAAAAUAAAGAAAAUAAUAAAGAUUGGAAUAUAAGAUCUGAUAUUGAAACAGACAGAAGUUUUCUAGAAUUAGAAAAUCAACUUAAUAUUAUGCAUGUAAAACCUAAUCAUGAUUAUUCAAUUCAACCAAAUACUCCUAUAAUUACAAAGUAUAAACAAAAACGAUCAUUUAGAGAAUAUAUGGCUUUAAAGUCAAGUAUAAAUUUCUUAGAAACUCCAGAUGGUAAAAAAUUUAAAUCCUUAUGUCAGAUGGAUGAUGUAGAUAAAUCUGUUCUCAAUGUAACAUAUAUAUCAAAUAAAUUGCUUACAGAUCUUCAUACUUUAUAUUCUGAAUCACCAGAUUCUUAAUUAUGAAUUUUUUUUAAUUAUAAUGAAUUGAAACAUUGUAAAAAUAUCCAGUUAAUUUAUAGUUUAUUUUAAUGAUACUCAAUCAAUGGCAUAACUACUCUCACAUAAGCUUACUAGGGAUGGUUUCUGUCAGAGUGAAAUCAUUAACUGUAUAAUGACAUUUAAACUAGGAGUUCUUGUUUCUAAAUUAGUUUUUUAUAUUAUUUUUAAAACAAUUUGUGUAUUAUGUUAUGUCUCUUAAACUUCUUAUAACAAAUCUAAUUCUCGUAUUUUA